AUUGAACGCUGGCGGCAGGCUUAACACAUGCAAGUCGAGCGGGGAAGGGUAGCUUGCUACCUAACCUAGCGGCGGACGGGUGAGUAAUGCUUAGGAAUCUGCCAUUUAGUGGGGGACAACGUUCCGAAAGGAAUGCUAAUACCGCAUACGUCCUACGGGAGAAAGCAGGGGAUCUUCGGACCUUGCGCUAAAUGAUGAGCCUAAGUCGGAUUAGCUAGUUGGUGGGGUAAAGGCCUACCAAGGCGACGAUCUGUAGCGGGUCUGAGAGGAUGAUCCGCCACACUGGUACUGAGAACCGGCCCAGACUCCUACGGGAGGCAGCAGUGGGGAAUAUUGGACAAUGGGCGGAAGCCUGAUCCAGCCAUGCCGCGUGUGUGAAGAAGGCCUUAUGGUUGUAAAGCACUUUAAGCGAGGAGGAGGCUACUUAGAUUAAUACUCUAGGAUAGUGGACGUUACUCGCAGAAUAAACACCGGCUAACUCUGUGCCAGCAGCCGCCGUAA
rnacentral:rRNA from 1 species